rnacentral:rRNA from 1 species
GACGAACGCUGGCGGCGUGCUUAACACAUGCAAGUUGGACGAGAAAGGCUGAUUUCGGUUGGCCGAGUAAAGUGGCGCACGGGUGAGUAACGCGUAGGCAACCUACCCUUGUAUUGGGGAUAACCCCGCGAAAGCGGGGCUAAUACCGCAUACGGCCUUGUACUGGGAUGUACGAGGAGAAAGGAUUUAUUCGCUGAGGGAUGGGCCUGCGGCCUAUCAGGUAGUUGGUGGGGUAAAGGCCUACCAAGCCUGCGACGGGUAGCCGGACUGAGAGGUCGACCGGCCACACUGGAACUGAGACACGGUCCAGACUCCUACGGGAGGCAGCAGUGGGGAA